rnacentral:rRNA from 1 species
UGUCAUGCCAAUGGCACUGCCCGGUAGCUAAAUGCGGAAGAGAUAAGUGCUGAAAGCAUCUAAGCACGAAACUUGCCCCGAGAUGAGUUCUCCCUGAGACUUUAAGUCUCCUGAAGGAACGUUAAAGACGAUGACGUUGAUAGGCCGGGUGUGUAAGCGCAGCGAUGCGUUGAGCUAACCGGUACUAAUGAACCGUGAGGCUUAACCUUACAACGCCGAAG